UGUCUUUUUGAAAAUAAUAUAAAGUCUAAUCUGCCCACUGAUUUUAAUUAAAGGGCUGCAGUAUAUUGACUGUACAAAGGUAGCAUAAUCAUUAGUCAUUUAAUUGGUGACUUGUAUGAAAGAUUGGAUGAAAUAUAAACUGUCUCUUAAUUAUUUAUAGAAUUUAAUUUUUUAAUUAAAAAGUUAAAAUAUAUUAAAAAGACGAGAAGACCCUAUAGAGUUUUAUAAAUAAAAUUAAUUAAGAUUAUUUAUAAAAUUAAAAUUAAAAUUGAUUUAUUUAUUAUGUUGGGGUGACAGAAAAAUAUAGAAAACUUUUUAUAUAUUUAUAUAAACAUUGAUAAGUGAUUAAAUGAUCCAAUUUUAUUGAUUAUAAGAAAAAAUUACCUUAGGGAUAACAGCGUAAUUUUUUUUUUUAGUUCAGAUAAAAAAAAGAGUUUGCGACCUCGAUGUUGGAUUAAGAUAAAAUUUAAAUGCAGAAG
rnacentral:rRNA from 2 species